CAGCAGCCGCGGUAAUGCAGAGGAUGCAAGCGUUAUCCGGAAUGAUUGGGCGUAAAGCGUCUGUAGGUGGCUUUUCAAGUCCGCCGUCAAAUCCCAGGGCUCAACCCUGGACAGGCGGUGGAAACUACCAAGCUGGAGUACGGUAGGGGCAGAGGGAAUUUCCGGUGGAGCGGUGAAAUGCGUAGAGAUGUGGAGGAACACCAGUGGCGAAGGCGACUCUCUGGUCUGUAACUGACGCUGAGGAGCGAAAGCGUGGGGAGCGAACAGGAUUAGAUACCCCCGUAGUCCCUGUCUCUUAUAC
rnacentral:rRNA from 1 species